rnacentral:rRNA from 1 species
ACCUCGGGAGCUGAGAAUAAUGCCCGAUAGAACAUUAUGCCUGGAAUGGUUUAUGUUCCAAAUGAUUUAUCGCCAUAGGAUGGGACUGCGGCCUAUCAGUUUGUUGGUGAGGUAAUGGCCCACCAAGACUAUUACAGGUACGGGCUCUGAGAGGAGUAGCCCGGAGAUGGGUACUGAGACACGGACCCAGGCCCUAUGGGGCGCAGCAGGCGAGAAAACUUUGCAAUGUGCGAAAGCACGACAAGGUUAAUCCGAGUGAUUUCUGCUAAAGAGAUCUUUUGUUAGUCCUAGAAACACUAACGAAUAAGGGGUGGGCAAGUUCUGGUGUCAGCCGCCGCGGUAAAACCAGCACCUCGAGUGGUCAGGAUGAUUAUUGGGCCUAAAGCAUCCGUAGCCGGCUCUGUAAGUUUUCGGUUAAAUCUGUACGCUCAACGUACAGGCUGCCGGGAAUACUGCAGAACUAGGGAGUGGGAGAGGUAGACGGUACUCGGUAGGAAGUGGUAAAAUGCUUUGAUCUAUCGAUGACCACCUGUGGCGAAGGCGGUCUACCAGAACACGUCCGACGGUGAGGGAUGAAAGCUGGGGGAGCAAACCGGAUUAGAUACCCGGGUAGUCCCAGCUGUAAACUAUGCAAACUCAGUGAUGCAUUGGCUUGUGGCCAAUGCAGUGCUGCAGGGAAGCCGUUAAGUUUGCCGCCUGGGAAGUACGUACGCAAGUAUGAAACUUA